rnacentral:rRNA from 1 species
UUGACUAGCUGAGAGGAGGUGCAUGGCCGUCGUCAGUUCGUACUGUGAAGCAUCCUGUUAAGUCAGGCAACGAGCGAGACCCACGCCAACAGUUGCCAGCUCGUCCUCCGGGGAUGGUGGGGACACUGUUGGGACCGCCUCUGCUAAAGAGGAGGAAGGAAUGGGCAACGGUAGGUCAGCAUGCCCCGAAUUAUCUGGGCUACACGCGGGCUACAAUGGGUGGGACAAUGGGUAUCGACACCGAAAGGUGAAGGCAAUCUCCUAAACCCAUCCGUAGUUCGGAUUGUGGGCUGCAACUCGCCCACAUGAAGCUGGAAUCUGUAGUAAUCGUGUCUCAAAAUGGCACGGUGAAUAUGUCCCUGCUCCUU